rnacentral:rRNA from 1 species
UACGGAGGGUGCAAGCGUUAUCCGGAUUCACUGGGUUUAAAGGGUGCGUAGGAGGGCAGGUAAGUCAGUGGUGAAAUCUUCGAGCUUAACUCGGAAACUGCCGUUGAUACUAUCUGUCUUGAAUACCGUGGAGGUGAGCGGAAUAUGUCAUGUAGCGGUGAAAUGCUUAGAUAUGACAUAGAACACCAAUUGCGAAGGCAGCUCGCUACACAUAUAUUGACUCUGAGGCACGAAAGCGUGGGGAUCAAACAGG